rnacentral:lncRNA from 10 species
UUUUUUCCAAAAAGCAUGAUACAGGGGGGUGGGUAUAAGAUGAUAUCUUUUGUGUAAAAAGAGGCCCCCUGAGCUUGUUUAUGUGUAAAUGUCCCUAGAAAGACAGUCAAGGUCACAGUGGCUGGUGUGGCAAAAGGCAACAAGGAAGUGGGUGGGGAGACUGGUUUUUCAUUGCACGUUCUUACUGCUUAUAUAUUUUGCCAUUUGAAUGUUCUGCUUACAAAGAAUGAUUAUAAAAACAAGCAAACAGAAGGCAUGCCUCCUGUGCCUGAGAGGACGGGAAGGGGAAAGAAAAGGCUGCUUUCCCUUCUCUGAAGCCUUUGCCUGAGGCCAGUGGGUAAAUACUGAUGCUGAGAGGAGGGAGGAGAGAAAGGCAGAGAGAGACAGAGACAGAGAUGGAGACACACACACACAGAGAGACAGAGACACACAGAGAUGGAAACAGGGAGAGAGAGAGACAGAGACGGACAGAGACAGAGGCAGAGAGAGACAGACAGAGACAGAGAGUCCCCUGAGAGGCUGGUCUGCUUUGGAAAUAUUCAUGGUUUGCCCAGAGGAGCAAGCAAUGUGGGCCAAGCUAAGAGCCUUGAGAGCUAUUAACACACCAAGUAGGUAGUGACCCAGGCAGGAAAAAACACUAAGAAAUGUCCAGCGUGAGCCACCGCAAUCGGCCCCACAUUAUGUUUUUAAUCACCCUCAAAUAGAUGCUAAUAAGUUGUCAGAAACAUCAUGAGCUGUUGCUGGGAUACAGCCCUUUCACAGCCCAAAGAGCCCCUUGACACAUCUUGUUUUUUUCUGGUGAAAAAAUAAGAGGACUCAUUUUAGUUAGACUCAUUCA